rnacentral:rRNA from 1 species
GCUUGAAUACAUUAGCAUGGAAUAAUAAAAUAGGACGGCAUNNNUCUAUUUUGUUGGUUUCUAGGAUCACCGUAAUGAUUAAUAGGGAUAGUUGGGGGCAUUAGUAUUCAAUUGUCAGAGGUGAAAUUCUUGGAUUUAUUGAAGACUAACNNNUGCGAAAGCAUUUGCCAAGGAUGUUUUCAUUAAUCAAGAACGAAAGUUAGGGGAUCGAAGACGAUCAGAUACCGUNNUAGUCUUAACCAU